UACGUAGGGAGCAAGCGUUGUCCGGAUUUAUUGGGCGUAAAGAGCUCGUAGGUGGUUCGGUAAGUCGGAUGUGAAAUCUCCAGGCUCAACCUGGAGGGGUCAUUCGAUACUGCCGUGACUAGAGGUCGGUAGGGGAGUGUGGAAUUCCUGGUGGAGCGGUGAAAUGCGCAGAUAUCAGGAGGAACACCCGUAGCGAAGGCGGCACUCUGGGCCGAUACUGACACUGAGGAGCGAAAGCGUGGGGAGCGAACAGG
rnacentral:rRNA from 1 species